AUUGAACGCUAGCGGGAUGCUUUACACAUGCAAGUCGAACGGCAGCGCGGACUUCGGUCUGGCGGCGAGUGGCGAACGGGUGAGUAAUGUAUCGGAACGUGCCCAGUAGCGGGGGAUAACUACGCGAAAGCGUAGCUAAUACCGCAUACGCCCUACGGGGGAAAGCCGGGGAUCGUAAGACCUUGCACUAUUGGAGCGGCCGAUAUCGGAUUAGCUAGUUGGUGAGGUAACGGCCCACCAAGGCGACGAUCCGUAGCUGGUUUGAGAGGACGACCAGCCACACUGGGACUGAGACACGGCCCAGACUCCUACGGGAGGCAGCAGUGGGGAAUUUUGGACAAUGGGGGCAACCCUGAUCCAGCCAUCCCGCGUGUGCGAUGAAGGCCUUCGGGUUGUAAAGCACUUUUGGCAGGAAAGAAACGUCGCGGGCUAAUACCCCGUGGAACUGACGGUACCUGCAGAAUAAGCACCGGCUAACUACGUG
rnacentral:rRNA from 1 species